rnacentral:rRNA from 1 species
GGUAGCGGGUGCGGAAGAUACGGUUCUGGAAAGCGAUGAAACGUUCACGCUGACCGUUGGUGAUAAGACCGCGACGGGCACCAUCGAAAACGAUGACGCGAAACCGACGAUCAAUGACAUCGCGGAUGUGAGCGAGGAAGAAGGCGACGCACUGGCGUUCGACGUGACCCUAAGCAAUACGGCCGACACGGCACAAACGUACGCGUUCAGCCUGACGGAUAACGAAACGGAUAACACCGACUACGGCACAGUGUCGUUCAGCAACGGCGUGACGUACGAUGCGGUCACAGGCCUGAUCACCGUCCCAGCGAAUACGGCGAGCUUCACGGUAACGGUAGCGGGUGCGGAAGAUACGGUUCUGGAAAGCGAUGAAACGUUCACGCUGACCGUUGGUGAUAAGACCGCGACGGGCACCAUCGAAAACGAUGACGCGAAACGGGAGAAGGCUAGGUGGGCCUGGCGACGGUUGUCCAGGUUCAAGUACGUAGGCGGGUGGUUUAGGUAAAUCCGGACCGCUACUAACGCUGAGAUACGAUGUCGAGCUACUACGGUAGUGAAGUCAUUGAUGCCAUGCUUCCAGGAAAAGCCUCUAAGCUUCAGAUUGUAAGGAAUCGUACCCCAAACCGACACAGGUGGUCGGGUAGAGAAUACCAAGGCGCUUGAGAGAACUCGGGUGAAGGAACUAGGCAAAAUGGUACCGUAACUUCGGGAGAAGGUACGCUCUUAUCAGUGAAGUCCCUUGCGGAUGGAGCAGACGAGAGUCGCAGAUACCAGGUGGCUGCAACUGUUUAUUAAAAACACAGCACUGUGCAAAAUCGUAAGAUGACGUAUACGGUGUGACGCCUGCCCGGUGCCGGAAGGUUAAUUGAUGGGGUUAGACUUCGGUCGAAGCUCUUGAUCGAAGCCCCGGUAAACGGCGGCCGUAACUAUAACGGUCCUAAGGUAGCGAAAUUCCUUGUCGGGUAAGUUCCGACCUGCACGAAUGGCGUAAUGAUGGCCACGCUGUCUCCACCCGAGACUCAGUGAAAUUGAAAUCGCUGUGAAGAUGCAGUGUACCCGCGGCUAGACGGAAAGACCCCGUGAACCUUUACUACAGCUUGGCACUGAACAUUGAACCUACAUGUGUAGGAUAGGUGGGAGACUUUGAAACCGCGUCGCUAGAUGUGGUGGAGUCGUCCUUGAAAUACCACCCUUGUAGUUUUGAUGUUCUAACGUUGGUCCCUGAAUCGGGAUUACGGACAGUGCCUGGUGGGUAGUUUGACUGGGGCGGUCUCCUCCCAAAGAGUAACGGAGGAGCACGAAGGUGGGCUAAACACGGUUGGACAUCGUGUGGUUAGUGCAAUGGCAUAAGCCCGCUUGACUGCGAGAAUGACAAUUCGAGCAGGUGCGAAAGCAGGUCAUAGUGAUCCGGUGGUUCUGAAUGGAAGGGCCAUCGCUCAACGGAUAAAAGGUACUCCGGGGAUAACAGGCUGAUACCGCCCAAGAGUUCAUAUCGACGGCGGUGUUUGGCACCUCGAUGUCGGCUCAUCACAUCCUGGGGCUGAAGUCGGUCCCAAGGGUAUGGCUGUUCGCCAUUUAAAGUGGUACGCGAGCUGGGUUUAGAACGUCGUGAGACAGUUCGGUCCCUAUCUGCCGUGGGCGUUGGAAAAUUGAAAGGGGCUGCUCCUAGUACGAGAGGACCGGAGUGGACGAACCUCUGGUGUUCGGGUUGUCAUGCCAAUGGCAUUGCCCGGUAGCUAAGUUCGGAAUCGAUAACCGCUGAAAGCAUCUAAGCGGGAAGCGAGCCUUGAGAUGAGUUUUCCCUGGCGCUAUAAGCGUCCUAAAGGGUUGUCGUAGACUACGACGUUGAUAGGCAGGGUGUGUAAGUGCUGCGAGGCAUUGAGCUAACCUGUACUAAUUGCCCGUGAGGCUUAACCAU